rnacentral:rRNA from 1 species
AUUGAACGCUGGCGGCAUGCCUUACACAUGCAAGUCGAACGGUAACAGGUCUUCGGAUGCUGACGAGUGGCGAACGGGUGAGUAAUACAUCGGAACGUGCCUAGUAGUGGGGGAUAACAACUCGAAAGAGUGGCCAAUACCGCAUGAGAUCUACGGAUGAAAGCAGGAGAUCGCAAGACCUUGUGCUACUAGAGCGGCCGAUGGCAGAUUAGGUAGUUGGUGGGAUAAAAGCUUACCAAGCCGACGAUCUGUAGCUGGUCUGAGAGGACGAUCAGCCACACUGGGACUGAGACACGGCCCAGACUCCUACGGGAGGCAGCAGUGGGGAAUUUUGGACAAUGGGCGCAAGCCUGAUCAGCAAUGCCGCGUGCAGGAUGAAGGCCUUCGGGUUGUAAACUGCUUUUGUACGGAACGAAAAGCCCCGGGUUAAUACCCUGGGGUCAUGACGGUACCGUAAGAAUAAGCACCGGCUAACUACGUGCCAGCCGCCGCAGUAA